AGAUUGAACGCUGGCGGCGUGCCUAACACAUGCAAGUCGGGCGGUAACAGGCGUAGCAAUACGUGCUGACGAGCGGCGAACGGGUGAGCAAUGCUUCGGAAUCUGCCCAAUGAUGGGGAAUAACCAGUCGAAAGAUUGGCUAAUACCGCAUACGCCCUUCGGGGGAAAGCGGGGGUCGCAAGACCUCGCGUCGAUGGAUGAGCCGAAGUCGGAUUAGCUAGUUGGUAGGGUAACGGCCUACCAAGGCGACGAUCCGUAGCUGUCUGAGAGGACGACCAGCCGACACUAGGACUGAGACACGGCCAGACGUCCUACGGGAGGCAGCAGGUGGGAAUAUUGGACAAUGGGGGGCAACCCGUGAUCCAGGCGACGACCGCGUGGUGUAGGAAGAAGGCCGUGGUA
rnacentral:rRNA from 1 species